GUAGUAGUGCGGGUAAUAACUGAAGAAAUUUAAUUUUCUUCAGAGGAAAGUCCGGACUCUAUGAAGCGCGGUUCCGAAUGAAAAUUCGGGAUGCUGUUUAAAAAACAGUAUACGGAAAGUGCCACAGAAACCAGGUAGCCACGAAAAAUGGUGCUUUGCGUCAUUUCGUGGUCACAGUGAAAAGGUGAGGUAAGAGCUCACCGUGUUCUGGGUAACCAGAACUGCAAGGCAAACCCAAUCGGGAGCAAGACCAAAUAGAGGGCGGAUGAAUACAAUUUUGUAUUCACGGAUUGCUUCAGUCCAAUGCCCAGGGUAGGUCGCGCAGAUUGAUUAUUACCGCCAUAUAUUUUUAUAUGGUACAGAAUCCGGCUUAUAGCACUGCUACCACC
rnacentral:RNase_P_RNA from 1 species